rnacentral:tRNA from 1 species
GUUGUAGCUCAGUGGUAGAGCACUCGCCUAUCAUGGGUGAGGCCCUGGGUUCAAUCCUCAGCAUCACA